UAAGCGAUAUUUAAGGUUAAAAACAGGGAUUUCUAUGAAAAUCAGCGAUAUUUAAGGUUAAAAACAGGGAUUUCUAUGAAAAUAAGUGAUAUUUAAGGUUAAAAACAGGGAUUUCUAUGAAAAUAAGCGACAUUUAAGGUUAAAAACAGGGAUUUCUAUGAAAAUAAGCGAUAUUUAAGGUUAAAAACGGGGAUUUCUAUGAAAAUAAGCGAUAUUUAAGGUUAAAAACAGGGAUUUCUAUGAAAAUAAGCGAUAUUUAAGGUUAAAAACAGGGAUUUCUAUGAAAAUAAGCGACAUUUAAGGGGAAAAAAAGGGAUUUCUAUGAAAAUAAGCGAUAUUUAAGGUUAAAAACGGGGAUUUCUAUGAAAAUAAGCGAUAUUUAAGGUUAAAAACAGGGAUUUCUAUGAAAAUAAGCGAUAUUUAAGGUUAAAAACAGGGAUUUCUAUGAAAAUAAGCGACAUUUAAGGUUAAAAACAGGGAUUUCUAUGAAAAUAAGCGAUAUUUAAGGUGAAAAACAGGGAUUUCUAUGAAAAUAAGCGAUAUUUAAGGUUAAAAACAGGGAUUUCUAUGAAAAUCAGCGAUAUUUUAGGGGAAAAAGAGGGAUUUCUAUGAAAAUAAGCGAUAUUUCAGGUUAAAAACAGGGAUUUCUAUGAAAAUAAGCGAUAUUUCAGGUUAAAAACAGGGAUUUCUAUGAAAAUAAGCGAUAUUUAAGGGGAAAAACAGGGAUUUCUAUGAAAAUAAGCGAUAUUUAAGGUGAAAAACAGGGAUUUCGAUGAAAAUAAGCGAUAUUUCAGGUUAAAAACAGGGAUUUCUAUGAAAAUAAGCGAUAUUUCAGGUUAAAAACAGGGAUUUCUAUGAAAAUAAGCGAUAUUUAAGGUUAAAAACAGGGAUUUCGAUGAAAAUAAGCGAUAUUUAAGGUUAAAAACCGGGAUUUCUAUGAAAAUAAGCAAUAUUUAAGGUUAAAAACAGGGAUUUCUAUGAAAAUAAGCGAUAUUUAAGGUUAAAAACAGGGAUUUCUAUGAAAAUAAGCGAUAUUUAAGGUUAAAAACAGGGAUUUCUAUGAAAAU